rnacentral:rRNA from 1 species
AUUGAACGCUGGCGGCAGGCCUAACACAUGCAAGUCGAGCGGAGCGGCAGAGGGGGGAGUAAUGCCUAGGAAUCGGCAUGGUAGUGGGGGAUAACGUCCGGAAACGGGCGCUAAUACCGCAACCUAUCAGAUGAGCCUAGGUGGGAUUAGCUAGUUGGUGGGGUAAAGGCAUACCAAGGCGACGAUCCGUAACUGGUCUGAGAGGAUGAUCAGUCACACUGGAACUGAGACACGGUCCAGACUCCUACGGGAGGCAGCAGUGGGGAAUAUUGGACAAUGGGCGAAAGCCUGAUCCAGCCAUGCCGCGUGUAUGAAGAAGGUCUUCGGAUUGUAAAGCACUUUAAGUUGGGAGGCGUUACCCACAGAAGAAGCACCGGCUAACUUCGUGCCAGCAGCCGCGGUAAUAC